CGGGUUAGGAAUGCCAGUAGGUACGAAUAUCCAAAAUUUUAUUCGAAUCCAAAUCUAAACGGGGUAGAUAUAUUCGAUACUAAAUGGAUAUAGUAUCGGAUACAAGUCUAAAAAAUCAAAAUCUAAUGGAUUUGAAUUCAAGUAUAGAUUUUGAUUUUUUCUAUAUCCGACCAGAAACCGAACUAGAUCUGAACCUAAAUUAAUUAACAUUAUAUAAAUAUAUGUGAAUGUUUGAUGUUAUAUUUGUAUUUGUAUUUUAAAAAUUUAGAUUUAAUGUAAUACUAGUGGAGUUACCCGCGCAUUGCGGCGGGCUGAUACUGUAAGAGACAGAAGAUUGACAAACUAAAAUAUUUUAAAAUUUUUUCACUUGUCAUGAGAAAUCAACAAAUACGAAUAAAAGAUAUAGAACGGAUUUAGCAAAAUUUAUAAUUUUAGCAAAUAAAUUACACGCAAUAAUAAUAAAAAAAACAGCAAUAGAACACUACUCCAUAUACACCUUAAUUGUGUUGCUGAUAUCGGAAAGGCGAAUCUUGAUCUCCACUUCUCAUUCGCCGCCAUUGUCAGCGUCGAGUUCCUCUUUAAUCACGGUAAUACAUAUCUUAUUUUAUUUAUUUUUUAUAAUAUUUAUUUGUUUAAAUGACAAUGAAUGUGAACAUAUUAAUUGAGAAAUGGACACGUGGGAAGACGAAAUAUCAUGCGGAUAUAAAAGAUAAUAAAUUCGAUCAUUAGGAAUUAGCAAGAAGGCAAGAAUGGGAGAUGAAGGUAAGGAUGAAGGAGACUUUGCCAUAUGGCAAAGUUUAUGAGGAAUAAUGAAUAAAUAAAUAAAAAUAGAAGAUAUAGAUAUAGAUGUGUUGAAAUACAGUAAAGAUAAAUAAUUAUUUCGGGUUCGGAUUUUUAGAUUCAAAUUCGGGUUUCAAUUUUUUUGCUGAAUUCAAAUUUGAAUAUGGAUUUUCAAAAUCCGUGGAAUAUGAUGAGUGAAUUGGACA
rnacentral:lncRNA from 1 species